CCCACAUCUGUUAAGGAUGUGAGGAGGAAGACGCAGUGAACUGAAACAUCUAAGUAGCUGCAGGAAGAGAAAGCAAAAGCGAUUGCCUUAGUAGCGGCGAGCGAAACGGCAGGAGGGCAAACCGAAGAGUUUACUCUUCGGGGUUGUAGGACUGCAAUGUGGACUCAAAGAUUAUAGAAGAAUGAUUUGGGAAGAUCAGCCAAAGAGAGUAAUAGCCUCGUAUUUAAAAUAGUCUUUGUACCUAGCAGUAUCCUGAGUACGGCGGGACACGUGAAAUCCCGUCGGAAUCUGGGAGGACCAUCUCCCAACCCUAAAUACUCCCUAGUGACCGAUAGUGAACCAGUACCGUGAGGGAAAGGUGAAAAGCACCCCGGGAGGGGAGUGAAAUAGAACCUGAAACCGUGUGCCUACAACAAGUUCGAGCCCGUUAAUGGGUGAGAGCGUGCCUUUUGUAGAAUGAACCGGCGAGUUACGUUAUGAUGCGAGGUUAAGUUGAAGAGACGGAGCCGUAGGGAAACCGAGUCUGAAUAGGGCGCCUUAGUAUCAUGACGUAGACCCGAAACCAUGUGACCUACCCAUGAGCAGGUUGAAGGUGCGGUAAGACGCACUGGAGGACCGAACCAGGGCACGUUGAAAAGUGCUUGGAUGACUUGUGGGUAGCGGAGAAAUUCCAAACGAACUUGGAGAUAGCUGGUUCUCUCCGAAAUAGCUUUAGGGCUAGCGUCGACAUUAGAGAUUCUUGGAGGUAGAGCACUGUUUGGGUGAGGGGUCCAUCCCGGAUUACCAAUCUCAGAUAAACUCCGAAUGCCAAUGAAUUAUGGUCGGCAGUCAGACUGCGAGUGCUAAGAUCCGUAGUCGAAAGGGAAACAGCCCAGACCACCAGCUAAGGUCCCAAAAUAAUUGUUAAGUGGAAAAGGAUGUGGGGUUGCACAGACAACUAGGAUGUUAGCUUAGAAGCAGCUAUUCAUUCAAAGAGUGCGUAAUAGCUCACUAGUCGAGUGACCCUGCGCCGAAAAUGUACCGGGGCUAAAACAAUUUACCGAAGCUGUGGAUACCUUUAUAGGUAUGGUAGGAGAGCGUUCUAUGUGUGAUGAAGGUAUACCGUGAGGAGUGCUGGAACGCAUAGAAGUGAGAAUGCCGGUAUGAGUAGCGAAAGACAGGUGAGAAUCCUGUCCACCGUAAGACUAAGGUUUCCAGGGGAAGGCUCGUCCGCCCUGGGUUAGUCGGGACCUAAGGAGAGACCGAAAGGUGUAUCCGAUGGACAACAGGUUGAUAUUCCUGUACUAGAGUAUGUAGUGAUGGAGGGACGCAGUAGGCUAACUAAAGCAGACGAUUGGAAGAGUCUGUCUAAGCAGUGAGGUGUGAUAUGAGUCAAAUGCUUAUAUCUGUAACAUUGAGCUGUGAUGGGGAGCGAAGUUUAGUAGCGAAGUUAGUGACGUCACACUGCCAAGAAAAGCUUCUAGCGUUUAAACAUACUCUACCCGUACCGCAAACCGACACAGGUAGUCGAGGCGAGUAGCCUCAGGUGAGCGAGAGAACUCUCGUUAAGGAACUCGGCAAAAUGACCCCGUAACUUCGGGAGAAGGGGUGCUGACUUUAAGUCAGCCGCAGUGAAUAGGCCCAAGCAACUGUUUAUCAAAAACACAGCUCUCUGCUAAAUCGUAAGAUGAUGUAUAGGGGGUGACGCCUGCCCGGUGCUGGAAGGUUAAGAGGAGUGCUUAGCGUAAGCGAAGGUAUGAAUUGAAGCCCCAGUAAACGGCGGCCGUAACUAUAACGGUCCUAAGGUAGCGAAAUUCCUUGUCGGGUAAGUUCCGACCCGCACGAAAGGCGUAAUGAUUUGGGCACUGUCUCAACGAGAGACUCGGUGAAAUUUUAGUACCUGUGAAGAUGCAGGUUACCCGCGACAGGACGGAAAGACCCCAUGGAGCUUUACUGCAGUUUGAUAUUGAGUGUCUGUACCACAUGUACAGGAUAGGUAGGAGUCUAAGAGAUCGGGACGCCAGUUUCGAAGGAGACGCUGUUGGGAUACUACCCUUGUGUUAUGGCCACUCUAACCCAGAUAGGUGAUCCCUAUCGGAGACAGUGUCUGACGGGCAGUUUGACUGGGGCGGUCGCCUCCUAAAAGGUAACGGAGGCGCCCAAAGGUUCCCUCAGAAUGGUUGGAAAUCAUUCGCAGAGUGUAAAGGUAUAAGGGAGCUUGACUGCGAGAGCUACAACUCGAGCAGGGACGAAAGUCGGGCUUAGUGAUCCGGUGGUUCCGUAUGGAAGGGCCAUCGCUCAACGGAUAAAAGCUACCCUGGGGAUAACAGGCUUAUCUCCCCCAAGAGUUCACAUCGACGGGGAGGUUUGGCACCUCGAUGUCGGCUCGUCGCAUCCUGGGGCUGUAGUCGGUCCCAAGGGUUGGGCUGUUCGCCCAUUAAAGCGGCACGCGAGCUGGGUUCAGAACGUCGUGAGACAGUUCGGUCCCUAUCCGUCGCGGGCGUAGGAAAUUUGAGAGGAUCUGCUCCUAGUACGAGAGGACCAGAGUGGACUUACCGCUGGUGUACCAGUUGUCUUGCCAAAGGCAUCGCUGGGUAGCUAUGUAGGGAAGGGAUAAACGCUGAAAGCAUCUAAGUGUGAAACCCACCUCAAGAUGAGAUUUCCCAUGAUUAUAUAUCAGUAAGAGCCCUGAGAGAUGAUCAGGUAGAUAGGUUAGAGGUGGAAGUGUGGCGACACAUGUAGCGGACUAAUACUAAUAGCUCGAGGACUUAUCCAA
rnacentral:rRNA from 1 species